rnacentral:rRNA from 1 species
AAUCCAUAGGUUAAUGAGGCGAACCGGGGGAACUGAAACAUCUAAGUACCCCGAGGAAAAGAAAUCAACCGAGAUUCCCCCAGUAGCGGCGAGCGAACGGGGAGGAGCCCAGAGCCUGAAUCAGCAUGUGUGUUAGUGGAAGCGUCUGGAAAGGCGCGCGAUACAGGGUGACAGCCCCGUACACAAAAGCGCAUGUGCUGUGAGCUCGAUGAGUAGGGCGGGACACGUGGUAUCCUGUCUGAAUAUGGGGGGACCAUCCUCCAAGGCUAAAUACUCCUGACUGACCGAUAGUGAACCAGUACCGUGAGGGAAAGGCGAAAAGAACCCCGGCGAGGGGAGUGAAAAAGAACCUGAAACCGUGUACGUACAAGCAGUGGGAGCCCCACCACCAAAGCAUUUGCUGUACCGCGUUGACGGAGCGAAGCGACGUCAAACCGAUAAAACAGCAGUGUAAAGUGAGCCGCAGGGCGCUUUGCGCGACAGCGCAAAGGCAGGCGGUUUCGCGUAGCGAAAGCGAAUGCUUUGG